rnacentral:lncRNA from 1 species
GGGUUCUAGUCAUCAUGUACAAAUAGAUGAAUGUAAUGAAAGGAUCUUUUGAUAUCCAACUUAUCAAUACAUCUUAGAUUAGCUUAGCCUAAUUUACCAGUAGUUUUCAGUCUUAAGAGUAGUGUUAACUUAGAUUUCGAGCAUCAUAGCUCAAACAACACCCGUAUCCUUAUCUAAAUCAAUCUUUUGUGGAUAGUACUAUGACGGUGAUAAAAAUCUUUGAAGAUAAAACAUCUAGACCCAUGCUAAUCUCAUAAUCUUUUUUUCUUGGUACAGAUCUCAUAACCUUUUCUCAAUCACC